rnacentral:lncRNA from 1 species
UCCAUGUGAACUCUUCUUUAUAAACACCAAGAAAGGACCCCACAGUAUGAUCAAUCUCCCACACGAUUCCAUAAACCCUGAAGAUGAAUUUUUAUUGGAGGGUAGGGUGGGAGGAGAGAGAGAAAGCAAGUGCCUGCUCCAUCAUGAGUGCCACUUGUAUUUCUGCAGUUGAGGGCACAGACGGUGCCCAUCUUGGGAAUACUUCAGCCCACAGAUGAGCCCACACAGUACCCGUGAUAGCUGCAAGCAGGGAACAGGAAAGCUGGGACAAAUGUGACACUCACUUUAAGACUGCACAUUAGAGCCAUCAAAAGAUGCAGAAUGAGCCCCAAAGGAACAGAAAUAUGAGGCUCGUUUUAAGUUUUAAAAUCAGAUUUUAAUUCCUCUAGCAGAAAUGAGAGAGUUUUCUUUUUUAAGGCCUACAGUACCUCUACUUCCCAAUCUUUUCAGAGACCUACCUACUUUUACAAAUGAACAAAAAUAGAUGUGUUCACCAACCUCUAAAAUGCAGUAUAAGAAAUACAAAUUGCUUCUUUUGAGUUUCUUGCAACUCCACAUCUUAAAUUAGAUAGAAGGAAGCAGAUCCUUUAAGAAGGAAGAGAAGGUACUGCCUGAAGUUGUAUAAGAAAUCUCAUUCUAAAGUAGAAAGGUGUCACUGACAGAUAAAUGGGAAGCCUAAAGAAACUGAUAGAAGACAGAGGAGGGAAAAGGGAAAGAAGGGAAAGAAACAAGGAAGGUGAAGAGGAAGAAAGAGAAACAUGGUGGUAGCAAAGAAAAAGGAAUGGGAAACAGAAUUGAUUGGGCAGGUUACUUAUAUAGUAUAUCAGUGAAAUAGACUGCACUGCUUCCAUGAAAAACAAAACAACAUUAAAAAAAAA